UACGAAGGGAGCUAGCGUUGUUCGGAAUCACUGGGCGUAAAGCGCACGUAGGCGGCUUUCUAAGUCAGGGGUGAAAUCCUGGAGCUCAACUCCAGAACUGCCUUUGAUACUGGAGAGCUUGAGUCCGGAAGAGGUGAGUGGAACUCCGAGUGUAGAGGUGAAAUUCGUAGAUAUUCGGAAGAACACCAGUGGCGAAGGCGGCUCACUGGUCCGGUACUGACGCUGAGGUGCGAAAGCGUGGGGAGCAAACAGG
rnacentral:rRNA from 1 species